UACACACUGCCCGUCACACCAUGGGAGUGGGUUUCACCAGAAGCCGGUCGCCUAACCGCAAGGAGGGCGCCGACCACGGUAAGAUUCAUGACUGGGGUG
rnacentral:rRNA from 1 species